rnacentral:tRNA from 1 species
GCCCGGGUGGUGAAAUUGGUAGACACAAGAGACUUAAAAUCUCUCGCCUUUACGGGUGUACCGGUUCGAUUCCGGUCCCGGGCA